rnacentral:rRNA from 1 species
AGAGUUUGAUCAUGGCUCAGGAUAAACGCUGGCGGCGCACAUAAGACAUGCAAGUCGAACGAACUUAACUCAUUCUUUACGAUUGAGAGCGGUUAGUGGCGGACUGGUGAGUAAUACGUAAGCAACCUGCCUAUCAGAGGGGAAUAACAGUGAGAAAUCAUUGCCAAUACCGCAUAUGCUAACAGUAUUGCAUGAUACAGUUAGGAAAGGAGCAAUCCGCUGAUAGAUGGGCUUACGCCUGAUUAGCUAGUUGGUGGGGCAACGGCCUACCAAGGCGACGAUCAGUAGCCGGACUGAGAGGUUGAACGGCCACAUUGGGACUGAGAUACGGCCCAGACUCCUACGGGAGGCAGCAGUCGGGAAUAUUGCGCAAUGGAGGAAACUCUGACGCAGUGACGCCGCGUAUAGGAAGAAGGUUUUCGGAUUGUAAACUAUUGUCGUUAGGGAAGAUAAAAGACUGUACCUAAGGAGGAAGCCCCGGCUAACUAUGUGCCAGCAGCCGCGGUAAUACAUAGGGGGCAAGCGUUAUCCGGAAUUAUUGGGUGUAAAGGGUGCGUAGACGGAGAGACAAGUUGGUUGUGAAAUCCCUCGGCUCAACUGAGGAACUGCAACCAAAACUAUUUCCCUUGAGUGUCGGAGAGGAAAGUGGAAUUCCUAGUGUAGCGGUGAAAUGCGUAGAUAUUAGGAGGAACACCAGUGGCGAAGGCGACUUUCUGGACGAUAACUGACGUUGAGGCACGAAAGUGUGGGGAGCAAACAGGAUUAGAUACCCUGGUAGUCCACACCGUAACGAUGGAUAC